AGAAAUGAUGAAAUCUGUCCACUUGUGACAACAUGAAUGGACCUUGAGGGCAUUAUGGAGAAGACAAGCUGAAAGAUGGAAGGGUGUGAAGCAGAGCGCGGCUGAACAUAAGGACAGAAAGCGCCUAGAACCUUGCAGACACAACUGAGCGGCUGCAUCAAACCUGGCUUGCCUCCUUCCAAGCUUCUCCUUAGGUGAUCAGGAGCAAGUUUCUUACUCUCUCCAAGCCCCAGUUUCUUCACCUGCAAAGAGAAGGAGAUCAGCAGUCAGGACCCAUUCCCCAGGGCCAUUGUGAGAAAUAAAUAGCAGAACAAUGGUGUUUUUGGACAUUUCUCCAAGAGUGGCCAGAAGACCAUUGCAUCAGAUGAGCACCUGGAGUCUUGUGAAAAACACAAAUUCCAUAGACAUCCUGAAUUUUAAUCUGCAGGGGUGGCGUUGGAGGGGAUGAGAAGAGAAGCCUAGGAUUCUGCAUUUUAAAGGGGCUUCUCAGGGGAUGGUUGACUGGUAAAUUUUAGGAAUCAACUACCUAGGGAAUAGCAAAAUGUUCCCUUAGAUGGGCCAAGGCCUGGGGGAUCUAUUUCUGCUGAAGCUCAUUAAGCCACUUUGGGUUUAUGUUCAUGAGGAAACCACAACCCCAAGACCCAAGUGAGGAAUAAGAACACACAGUUUUGAGAAGAGGAAUUAAGUAAUAACCAACAAUGCUUCCACAUCUAAGAAUUUUUCUAACGUUUCUCCAGUAGGAACACCACAACACGUUUACCCUCUUUCUAUCCUUACUUUGCCUGCAGCACAAGUUUUCUUACAUAUAGAUGCUCAAAAAAUGCCCAUUACAUUGACUUGAAUGUAUUCCCCUUUGAAGAGCCAUACUUUCAACAAGUACUUUCAUAUAUUUUUUACUGGUGGUGUUUGGACAAGCUUACGUGUAUACAUGGGCAAGGGGCAGAAGCGGUGGGUGAACAAAAGUGGGUUUCAUAAACAAGGGAGAUAAAACUUAGCGAGUUCCUGAGGAGACAGGUUGUAGCAGGAAACAUAACUACAAGUUCUCAUUUUGGUUUACUUCCUCUCUUGCCUUGGGAUCUUAAGCAAGCUACUUUCAUUUCUCUAUUUCAACUGGGCCUCUUUUUUUUUUUUUUCUUUUUUUAAGGAAUAUGCUUUGUGGAAUUAUUUUAAGAAGUAACUAAUACGAGAUCGGAAAGCACCUUUUCCUCUUAGCCAAAAUUGUGCACAAGAGAAUCUCCACCAUCUGGGCCAGUUCAAUGAAAGAAGUGAAUUUUCCUUUUUUUCUCUUUCCUUCCUCCUUUCUAUAAAGUUCAUUCACUUAGUAAAUGUUUACUGAGAAUUCAUUAUAUGCUAGAAGCUGUGAAGACUUCUGGGACAGCAAACAAGACAUAGUUACUCCCCGCUAUGAUUGGAAAAGCUAGAGCAUUAAGGGUCUGAAAAGAGAAGUUGAAGGAUCAGAGAAAAGUCACUAGCCCUCCUGUAGUGCUGGCACAGGUGGGCCAGAUGGAGCUUGCAAAGUCUUCCGGGAAGCCAGGCACUUCAGCUGUCAGAGUGGAACCGUCCAGCCUGGAGACUCUGUUGGUCAGCAGGGCCUGCACUUGAGAGAAGAGCUGGGUGUAAAGCAGGGGAGAGCAAGGACAUACGGAACCUGCCACCAGUAUGGCGGAGAGUGGGGACAAGCUGGGAUAUGCCAGCCUCUCUGCGUGCUUCUCCCAGAGCAUGCUGCUUUAAGUCCUAGUACCAAAUAGGGAGAGAAUCUACCUACCAAAUCUCAUGCCAGCUUCUUUUUUUUCCAACUCUAACAUGAAUCAUGCAAGAAAGGGGAUUCUGGGAACAGUAGUUCCAACUAGUCCAAAUUAACACCAUACAUAUGAGGAGCUGGCUAAAAAAGUGAUGAAAGUUCGCCAGGAGGCCAACACACAAUUGAAAGUGGAAAAAUCAAUGUUAAGAUUGUGAGCAAAAGUGCUUGUUUAGGUCACAAGCUGUUUGUAAGUCCUCAAGACUUCUCUAAGUGGUCUCGUGUGUCAGCGCUAGAAUUGUCCUACCCACGGCAACUGCUACAUAAUGUGAGGGUAGAAGUCAGCUGGUAAAUGUAAGGCCAAUACCCCAACACAGCAACCACAGGUGCAACAGUUUAGGAAGAUCACUGGGUUUUUAUAUCUCCGGGUGACACAACAGUUAUUAACAAUCACUUUAAAUUUUAAUUUUUUGUCACAUGCAGAUUUAUGAGGUAUGGAAUGCUCAUCUGUUCAAACAUUUGUUAAUGCUUCUUGUAUGCCACAGCAAAGAAAAGUGAAACAUCCUACUGGCCUCUGCAUGAACCAAACACACACCCUUCCACCAGCUUUUGCUUACCGUACAUCAAAUUCCCUGCCCGACCGUGCCAGAUUCCCCACAAGGUUUACAAGAAAUAAAACCUGGGGAUAAGGGAGAGAGAAAGAGCCACAUGACAAAGUCACAGGCUCUGAGGUUUCAUAGACAAUCCAGAAGAACUGGUCAUAACUCCUUAAAUUAAGGUGAUUUGGUUAAAAAUAGCAGAACUUCCAGGGAACUAGCUCCAAUCUAAAGGGGGAUUUAUAAUGAGGACAGUGGCUCAUCUCACGAGACACAAGGGCAGGAAUGCAGCCAGCCUUCAUCAGGGACGGAAACCGAGAAAUGAAGUCAGGAGCACCCCAGCCCAUUUCAUUUCUGCUUCUCUCUGUGCAUUUGCUCCUUCUCCCGCCAGGCUGUUGUCUCUGUUCCUCAAAGCACAAGAUGGAAUACAGCUGCCUCUCUUGAGUUUGAAGUUAUAGUUUGAAGCCAUUGGAGACUGACUUUCUUUAAGUCCUAAUGAUGUGGAUUAAGGCUGCCCCAGCUAGAGAAGCCCAAGGUGACCUGGCCUACAUGCCAAACUAUACGAC